AAAGAAAAUUUUAAUCAGCUGAAGGGACAGAGGAAGAGCAGCCUCACAUUGGAUCCUCAUGCAGGAGUUGCUUGGAGAUCAGUGUUGCCUGAACUUCUAGUCUGGACAAGGAGAAGUUAAUUGAUUUGCCUGGAGUCACAUGGCGAGUGUCAGAGCUAGUUCUUUCCUGACUACAAGAUACAGAGAUGAAAGCCCAGAGAGGUCAAACAAUUUGUCCAAGACUGCACAGCUGGUUCAUGGCAGAACUGACUCCUGGUCUACUUUUCACCAUCCAUGCAGAUGUAGGAGACCUGUCAGACAGGCCAUCAGUAUCUAGCUCUUCUCUGUCUUUAUACUUAAAGAUUUCAAUAUAGCUGCCGACAUCUUCCUGAAUGUUCUGGCCUGCCAGUUCAUCAAACUUCUCAGCUACCAUGACCUACAUUUUUUAUUAAGAUAAAUUUUAUUAUGAACUUAAC